CGCAGGCGUCAACAAUCCCCCGCCGGAAGCGGAAGCCCCGCCCCUCAGGAGCGUCGCCCGCCGCCUGGUGGAGCUGGGAAGGGAGGGCGGGGAGGUGCGUCUGUAGUCCCUGGUUCGGGCCCUAGUAGUCGGUGGCUGGUCGGUGACUGGGAGCAGACCGUCACCUCCUCCCUUUUACAGCUUUAAGUCUGUGACCCGAGCCCUCUCUGUAUAUUCCCGUGGGGUUGGGGCUAGCUGUCCUGGGAGAAACUAGGUGGAUGAGGAGCAUUUCCGAGACAGGUCCCAGGGCCAGCGCAGCCUUUUCUGUUGUAGAACCGCGACUGUUGUUUUGGGCUCCAGGCCGGAGGGUUUGUUGCUUGUGUUCAUUCCAGUUAACCAUUAGUACUCGAGAAGGUGGUACAGAACGCAUCUAUCCCCUCAGAAGAUAAGAAAUUAAAAGCCAAACUAAACUGCGACGUAUAUUAAUAUAUUAUAUUGGUACCACUGAGACAUAGGAAAGAAACCCAGCAAGGCCUGUCUAGAUUCUCCUUGGCCUCUCUGCAGCAUUCAUUCCUUCUGGGUAUGGAACAGGACCCUCUGGAAUGGGGGCUGUGGCCUACAACAGUUAAACAAGUGAACUAAAGGGCUCCCAAGAUCUCUCCUGCAGCAUUUUCCUUGAGAAGGAGGAAGGUUUGCAUCUCUGUGAGAAGAAACAUCAGAAGCAGUUGAAAGACCAGGAAGUGGGUCCUCUAGGGGUGAGGAGGCAUUCUGAAUAAACUGUGUGUUGUACACCU